CAGAGGUCCCAAGCGUUGUUCGGAUUCACUGGGCGUAAAGGGUGCGUAGGUGGUCGGGUAAGUCUGAUGUGAAAUCUCAGAGCUCAACUCUGAAACUGCAUUGGAUACUAUUUGACUAGAGGGUCGGAGGGGGACUGGAAUUCUCGGUGUAGCAGUGAAAUGCGUAGAUAUCGAGAGGAACACCAGUGGCGAAGGCGAGUCCCUGGACGACUCCUGACACUGAGGCACGAAAGCUAGGGGAGCAAACAGGAUUAGAUACCCUGGUAGUCCUAGCUGUAAACGGUGCGUAUUUGCUGUAAAAGGAAUCGACCCCUUUUGUGGCGUAGCUAACGCGAUAAAUACGCCGCCUGGGAAGUACGGUCGCAAGAUUA
rnacentral:rRNA from 1 species